GAAGUGUCCUGGCAAGCAAGAAUGGCUUCUCCCCAGAGCUUCUUAGUGAGGCCCAUGGCUUGGGCUGGGUAGCUCUGGGAGGCAAGAUGAUAGACUUUCUAGGAGGUUGCUCCAGCUCAUUGAACACAGCGGAGCUCUUGUGAUGGCUAUACCACUCUUCCUUGCUUGUUUUAGGUGGCCAGUGUAGCAAAUGUAAUUGUCAAUAUUUUUGGCUGUAACAUAGUUGAUAACCCUUAGACACAUCUUGGAUACAACCAUGACCAGCCAAACCAUACAUUCUGGACAUCUAGCUCAAAGCUUAUGUCAAUCAUCUCACCUGUCUUAUCCCUAACACCACAGGUAGAACAGCUCAAUACCAGGUAGUGCUCUUCUGUACAUCAUCAGGUGAUGACCACAAUCUCACAAUCCAUUUGGAGCCCAAAGCUUCGGUCUUCUCUGGAGAUGCCACCAAUAGCAGCCACACUGAGCUAGCAGCUUUCCAAACCUGAUUUUUUUUCUUUCUCAGUCUGCUGAGCCAGGUCACAGGUAGGAGCCAGAAUGAUAAGGGCCCUAGUCUGACUCUUGCCAGUCCUGGGAAGUAUGGUGAUCCAGACAAGUAAUAGAAUGAGGAGGACUGCUUGCUGUCUUGCCACUGCUAGUCUCAACUACACCAAUGAUGUCAUGGUUCUGCAGCCCAAUGGGAACUGCCUAAUACUGCACAGGUGGAGAACACUUCCAGUCCUGGUCUCCAUCUUGUUCUGUGAAGAGUCUGUGACAGCUUUCUUUCCUCCUUGGAAGAUGCAUCUGGGUCCUAUUAGUCAACCAAUUCUCUGCCACCACCCUGCACCCAGACCACUGAACAGAGCUGGAUUCACCAUCUUUUAGGUUUCCAGAUCACUAGGAGGACCUUGAAUCCAUUUUUACUUGUUUGCUGUUUGUUUGAGUCAGAGUCUUGUUGGCCUCAGAUUUGUUAUGUAGCAGAAGACAACAGUGGAUUUCUUAUCCUGCCUCUACCUCACAAGUUCUGGGAUUCCAGGCAUAAAACACAAUCCCUGGUUUAUGUGGUGCUGAUUUCUAACCCUGGGCUUCCUGCAUGUGAGGCAAGCACUUUGACUACAAGCUAUAAUUCCAGUCUAGAAUGUCCCUGUAGUAUUAGGAAUCUAAUCAGAAUUCUCUUGGAACAUGUGUCUUUUGGUAAUUCUAUAUUUCUUUUAAUGCAUUUAACACAAUCCUACGUGUGGAAUAGAAUUCCUUUUUAUAAUUUAAUAUUCUGAAUAGCAGAACAUUCACAAGGACAGGAAUUGCUCCUCACAUCCCACUCUUUCCUGACCAGGUCCCGAUCCGCCCUCCCCAAGGUCCUCACUGGUCACCCAAACUUCCACUGUGCUUUGAGAGUAUCUGAACAGUCAGUCUUGGGUCUGUCCCUCGACAGUCAGCACUGAGCCUGCUCCUCCUCUGGAUUUUCUACUGGGCUGCAGCCCUGGGCCAUUUCCUGUGUCUGGGCACAGACUUUUCUUUCCUUCCUGUUGUUGCAUAAACACUGUUAGAGUUAACGUUUUGGGGGCUACACCUUUUGGUGACUGACCAAUACGUCUAAUCACAAUUUAGCAAUGAGCGGUAGAGAAAAUGGCUAGAAAAAUAUUUUUGUUUGCCUUAAUUUUCCUUUUUCCAAAACCUAAUUAGUUUUGGAACAAAACAAAACAAACCACAUAAUCACUGUGCUACAACUUAAAAGAAUGAUUUUUUUUCUCUCCUAAAUUAUUUGGAAACAUCUGCUCUGUCUUUUACACAUACCAGGAUCAUCUUCUUUGUGUUUAUGCUGGAAAACAUGCCGGCUGCUCCAGUAUCCAAUCAGUUAGCACAAGGAGAUGUCAGCUGUCACCUGUGUCUGUUGCAGCGAUUUCCCUCCUCUGUCUCUGCCCACUGUGGGUGAGCUGUCAAGUUUCUAGUUUCUGACAUGCAUUUACAUCACUCAACGACAUCUGACGGCAGUGAAAGGCCACAGAAAACUGCUUAUUGAUCAGAGCAAAACUAGUUGACGGAACAGAUGAGGUUGUAUUGCAGAGAUGCGGCCACAUUCAGGUGAUGACAUUUGCUCCCCGCACACAGAAGCCUAAUGGAAUACAACUUCAUUAUAUCAUGCCACUUGUGCUUACAGCCGGGAGCCUGGCUCCUGACUGUUUUGUCUAUGUGGUGAUGAGGACAAUCUACUUGUGCUGGCUUCAAUGUCUUACCACCCCGAUUUGUUCAUGAGCACUUGACAGCUACCUGUGACUCUGUCCUGACAAAUAUACCAAGAGACAUUGGAGUCUCAAUCUCA